rnacentral:rRNA from 1 species
GUGAACGCUGGCGGUAGGCCUAACACAUGCAAGUCGAACGGCAGCACAGUAAGAGCUUGCUCUUCCGGGUGGCGAGUGGCGGACGGGUGAGGAAUACAUCGGAAUCUACUUUUUCGUGGGGGAUAACGUAGGGAAACUUACGCUAAUACCGCAUACGACCUACGGGUGAAAGCAGGGGAUCUUCGGACCUUGCGCGAUUGAAUGAGCCGAUGUCGGAUUAGCUAGUUGGCGGGGUAAAGGCCCACCAAGGCGACGAUCCGUAGCUGGUCUGAGAGGAUGAUCAGCCACACUGGAACUGAGACACGGUCCAGACUCCUACGGGAGGCAGCAGUGGGAAUAUUGGACAAUGGGCGCAAGCCUGAUCCAGCCAUACCGCGUGGGUGAAGAAGGCCUUCGGGUUGUAAAGCCCUUUUGUUGGGAAAGAAAAGCAGCAGGUUAAUACCCCGCUGUUCUGACGGUACCCAAAGAAUAAGCACCGGCUAACUUCGUG